AUUAAAUGCCAUGUUUUAUUUGUGAUUCCCACUGUCGGCGUUUGGGUUUUUUGUGGAUCUUAAAAUAGCACUGAAGCGAUACCGGAUGUUUAUAGCAGACGGCGUUUUGUCAAAACUGUCAAAAUGGAAGAAAAAAGAAAACGCAAUCCCAACUUUUCGCUGCAAGAUUCCUUGCUUCUUACCCAAAUAAUGGGAGAGACGCAUCCCGACUUCCAUGAUAUGGACAUGUCUUUCCACAAGGUUGAUAAGGCUAGAUUCAGCAAUCGAAUCAGCAAAGCAACAAAGAAUGCACUGUGGGUGGCAGUUACUGAAAAUUUCAAUGCCAGAGCCCAGUUUAGAAGGGAGCAAUCCA